AGAGUUUGAUCCUGGCUCAGGACGAACGCUGGCGGCGUGCUUAACACAUGCAAGUCGAACGAGAAUCUACUGAAAGAGUUUUCGGACAAUGGAUGUAGAGGAAAGUGGCGGACGGGUGAGUAACGCGUGAGGAACCUGCCUUGAAGAGGGGGACAACAGUUGGAAACGACUGCUAAUACCGCAUGACGCAUAGAGGUCGCAUGAUCUUUAUGCCAAAGAUUUAUCGCUUCAAGAUGGCCUCGCGUCUGAUUAGCUGGUUGGCGGGGUAACGGCCCACCAAGGCGACGAUCAGUAGCCGGACUGAGAGGUUGAACGGCCACAUUGGGACUGAGAUACGGCCCAGACUCCUACGGGAGGCAGCAGUGGGGAAUAUUGGGCAAUGGGCGCAAGCCUGACCCAGCAACGCCGCGUGAAGGAAGAAGGCUUUCGGGUUGUAAACUUCUUUUAAGAGGGAAGAGCAGAAGACGGUACCUCUAGAAUAAGCCACGGCUAACUACGUGCCAGCAGCCGCGGUAAUACGUAGGUGGCAAGCGUUGUCCGGAUUUACUGGGUGUAAAGGGCGUGCAGCCGGGUCUGCAAGUCAGAUGUGAAAUCCAUGGGCUCAACCCAUGAACUGCAUUUGAAACUGUAGAUCUUGAGUGUCGGAGGGGCAAUCGGAAUUCCUAGUGUAGCGGUGAAAUGCGUAGAUAUUAGGAGGAACACCAGUGGCGAAGGCGGAUUGCUGGACGAUAACUGACGGUGAGGCGCGAAAGUGUGGGGAGCAAACAGGAUUAGAUACCCUGGUAGUCCACACUGUAAACGAUGAAUACUAGGUGUGCGGGGACUGACCCCCUGCGUGCCGCAGUAAACACAAUAAGUAUUCCACCUGGGGAGUACGAUCGCAAGGUUGAAACUCAAAGGAAUUGACGGGGGCCCGCACAAGCGGUGGAUUAUGU
rnacentral:rRNA from 1 species